GAUGAACGCUGGCGGCGUGCCUAAUACAUGCAAGUCGAGCGAACAGACGAGGAGCUUGCUCCUCUGACGUUAGCGGCGGACGGGUGAGUAACACGUGGAUAACCUACCUAUAAGACUGGGAUAACUUCGGGAAACCGGAGCUAAUACCGGAUAAUAUAUUGAACCGCAUGGUUCAAUAGUGAAAGACGGUUUUGCUGUCACUUAUAGCUGGAUCCGCGCCGCAUUGGCUAGUUGGUAAGGUAACGGCUUACCAAGGCGACGAUGCGUAGCCGACCUGAGAGGGUGAUCGGCCACACGGGAGCGGAGACACGGUCCAGACUCCUACGGGAGGCAGCAGUAGGGAAUCUUCCGCAAUGGGCGAAAGCCUGACGGAGCAACGCCGCGUGAGUGAUGAAGGUCUUCGGAUCGUAAAACUCUGUUAUUAGGGAAGAACAAAUGUGUAAGUAACUAUGCACGUAUUGACGGUACCUAAUCAGAAAGCCACGGCUAACUACGUG
rnacentral:rRNA from 1 species